UACGUAGGGUGCAAGCGUUAAUCGGAAUUACUGGGCGUAAAGCGUGCGCAGGCGGUUUGUAAGUCUGUCGUGAAAGCCCCGGGCUCAACCUGGGAAUUGCGAUGGAGACUGCAAGGCUUGAAUCUGGCAGAGGGGGUAGAAUUCCACGUGUAGCAGUGAAAUGCGUAGAGAUGUGGAGGAACACCGAUGGCGAAGGCAGCCCCUGGGUCAAGAUUGACGCUCAUGCACGAAAGCGUGGGGAGCAAACAGG
rnacentral:rRNA from 1 species